GAUGAACGCUGACGGCGUGCCUAAUACAUGCAAGUCGAGCGAACGGACGAGAAGCUUGCUUCUCUGAUGUUAGCGGCGGACGGGUGAGUAACACGUGGAUAACCUACCUAUAAGACUGGGAUAACUUCGGGAAACCGGAGCUAAUACCGGAUAAUAUUUUGAACCGCAUGGUUCAAAAGUGAAAGACGGUCUUGCUGUCACUUAUAGAUGGAUCCGCGCUGCAUUAGCUAGUUGGUAAGGUAACGGCUUACCAAGGCAACGAUGCAUAGCCGACCCGAGAGGGUGAUCGGCCACACUGGAACUGAGACACGGUCCAGACUCCUACGGGAGGCAGCAGUAGGGAAUCUUCCGCAAUGGGCGAAAGCCUGACGGAGCAACGCCGCGUGAGUGAUGAAGGUCUUCGGAUCGUAAAACUCUGUUAUUAGGGAAGAACAUAUGUGUAAGUAACUGUGCACAUCUUGACGGUACCUAAUCAGAAAGCCACGGCUAACUACGUG
rnacentral:rRNA from 1 species